UGCAUAAUUCGCUAAAAAGUAUUUCAAACUAUUUAACAUAUUGGUACUAUGUUUAUACUCUCUACCGCAGCUACUGUAUGAUGUCAUAGCAAUGACGUCACACUCAAGCCAAUCAGCCUUGAGGAGGAUAGACUCGUCGGACUGUAGCGGUUGUAAACAACUUGUCGCCCCGUGUGUCUGCCCGUGGCGCUAGUUAUCUGUCGAAGUUACCACUGACAAUGCCCAAAACAAGAACAACAAAGGCCCAAAGGUGGCUGUUUGGUAGUGCGCAAAGCUGCUGGUGGUGGUGGACGUCUCUGCCCUGACGCGCGGCGUGCGUCUGCUCAGUGUGGAGGUGCCGCUGACAGCGGUGCCGGCCGGACCGGCUGCCUCUCCGGCGGCCGACAUUGAGCGCGGCACGUGUCCGCCGCCGUUCGGGCCGCUGCAGCUGCUGCAGUCGGCGGCGCAGCUGUCCGUCUCCGUGUCGCUGGCCGUGCCGCUGGACCUGCUGCCGCGGCCGGCGCCGGCGCGCUGCGCCUACGGCCGCCUGCUGGCCGUCGUUUCGCAGCGCGGCCUGCAGCGCAGCGGCGUGCUGCAGCUCAUCCAGCAGCUCAACGAGCCGCCCAGCCCGGCGGCGGCCGAGGGCGCCGCGCCGCGCCGGCCCGGCGACGUCAGCACACCUGGCAUCAGCGGCUUCUGCCUGGCCGACCGUCAGCUGCACCUGCUGUUCGCCGAGGGGCGCGCCGACGCCGAGCUGGAACAGACGGCGGCCGCGCCGCGCGCUCUGCCGCGCCGCGACGCUCGACUCUGCCACCACUCGGGCCUACUGAGUGUUUAGGGAGCGCCUGUACCCGCGCCAGCCGGCCGCGUUCCGCGUGCUCGAGGACCGCCCGCUACGCGCCCAGCUGCUCGACACCCGCCUCUACACGUUACAGAAACAGGAGCCGGCGCGCGCCGUCCGCGCCAUCAGAGAGUGCUUCCGCACGCAGUGGCUGUCGGAAAAUGAACCUGCUUCCCAACGAGGCCGGCCUGCAACAACUGCUGGCCGGCUGUUGGCCGAAAAAAAAAACGCCUUCAACCGGAUGUCAGUUGUCAAAUCAACGCGUAUUAAUGCAUUCACUAGGAUGGGCUUACGUAAAGCUGUAGAAUUGCAAAUAUAUAAUGGCACUGUUUUUGA
rnacentral:lncRNA from 1 species